rnacentral:rRNA from 1 species
UACGAGAGGAUGCAAGGCAGUUAUCCGGAAUGGAUUGGGCGUAAAGCGUCUGUAGGUGGCUUUUUAAGUCCGCCGUCAAAUCCCAAGGGCCUCAACUCUGGACAGGCGGUGGAAACUACCAAGCUGGAGUACGGUAGGGGCAGAGGGAAUUUCCGGGUGGAGCGGUGAAAUGACGUAGAGAGUCGGAAAAGAACACCGAUGGCGAAGGCACUCUGCGUGGGCCGAACACUGACACUGAAAGACGAAAGCCAGGGGAGCG